AUUGAACGCUGGCGGCAAGCCUAACACAUGCAAGUCGAACGAGUGGCGGACGGGUGAGUAAUGUCUGGGAAACUGCCUGAUGGAGGGGGAUAACUACUGGAAACGGUAGCUAAUACCGCAUACCAUCGGAUGUGCCCAGAUGGGGUUAGCUAGUAGGUGGGGUAAAGGCCAACCUAGGCGACGAUCCCGAGCUGGGCUGAGUGGAGGACCUGCCACACUGGAACUGGGACACGGUCCAUGCUCCUACGGGAGGCAGCAGUGGGGAAUAUUGCACAAUGGGCGCAAGCCUGAUGCAGCCAUGCCGCGUGUAUGAAGAAGGCCUUCGGGUUGUAAAGUACUUUCAGCGGGGAGGCGUUACCCGCAGAAGAAGCACCGGCUAACUCCGUGCCAGCAGCCGCGGUAAUAC
rnacentral:rRNA from 1 species